UACGUAGGGUGCGAGCGUUGUCCGGAAUUAUUGGGCGUAAAGAGCUUGUAGGUGGCUCGUCGCGUCGGGAGUGAAAACCCGCGGCUUAACCGCGGGCCUGCUUUCGAUACGGGCGGGCUAGAGUUCGGCAGGGGAGACUGGAAUUCCUGGUGUAGCGGUGGAAUGCGCAGAUAUCAGGAGGAACACCGCUGGCGAAGGCGGCUCUCUGGGCCGAUACUGACACUGAGAAGCGAAAGCGUGGGGAGCGAACAGG
rnacentral:rRNA from 1 species